GAUGAAUGCUGGCGGCGUGCCUAACACAUGCAAGUCGAGCGGCAGCGCGAGUAGUUUACUACUUGGCGGCGAGCGGCGGACGGCUGAGUAACGCGUGAGAACGUGCCCCAAAGUGAGGGAUAACGCACCGAAAGGUGUGCUAAUACCGCAUAUGGUCUUCGGAUUAAAGAAUUUAUUCGCUUUGGGAGCGGCCCGCGUCGGAUUAGGUAGUUGGUAGGGUAAUGGCCUACCAAGCCGACGAUCCGUAGUUGGUCUGAGAGGAUGAUCAGCCAGACUGGAACUGAGACACGGUCCAGACUCCUACGGGAGGAAGCAGUGAGGAAUCUUCCACAAUGGGCGAAAGCCUGAUGGAGCAACGCCGCGUGCAGGAUGAAGGCCUUCGGGUUGUAAACUGCUUUUAUAAGUGAAGAAUAUGACGGUAACUUAUGAAUAAGCACCGGCUAACUACGUGCCAGCAGCCGCCGUAA
rnacentral:rRNA from 1 species